rnacentral:sRNA from 1 species
AUGUGGCAUCAGUGAACAACUUCCCCACAGCUGCGGGCCUGGCCUCCUCGGCGGCGGGCUAUGCCUGCCUAGGGAUGAUGCUUCCUGGCCCAGCUGGGCUCCAGUGCCUUCCCUGAACCACCCUCAGUGACCAGGGUACCUUUUGUUGCCCUUGUCGCAGGCCACAAGCUCUGCAGGCCGUGAACAGAGAGUGUCCGAGAGCGGAACUAGUGGAGGUGGGGGACAGAUGGCUGGGCUGGUGAAUGCUGGCCUCGAAGGCUGAUGGCCCAGAAGCCCUGUCAUCUGGAAAUCCCCAUUUGCCGUGGGGUGUGGGACGUUCCCGGGGCGGUGAGCUGUCAAGGAGCACAGCGCAGGCAGCUCUGAGGACCCUCCCCGAAUCCGCAUGCCUGCAGCCUACACCCUGGCCCGUGUCUAUGGCGUGGAGAGUGACCUCUCA